UACGUAGGGGGCUAGCGUUGUCCGGAAUCAUUGGGCGUAAAGCGCGCGUAGGCGGCCAGAUAAGUCCGGUGUGAAAGUCACAGGCUCAACCUGUGAAUGCCGCUGGAAACUGUCUGGCUAGAGUCCGGAAGGGGCGAGUGGAAUUCCUGGUGUAGCGGUGAAAUGCGCAGAUAUCAGGAGGAACACCGAUGGCGAAGGCAGCUCGCUGGGACGGUACUGACGCUGAGACGCGAAAGCGUGGGGAGCAAACAGG
rnacentral:rRNA from 1 species